ACGCGUGCUCCGGGGUCGGUGAAAGUCCGAACCGGCGGUGAUAGUCCGCGACCCGGUCGAAUCCAUCGACCGGUUGAACCGGUGUGAUUCCGGUACCGACGGUUAAAGUCCGGAUGGGAGGCAGUGCGCGU
rfam:Nocardiopsis sp. JB363 genome assembly, contig: Scaffold92